UGUGUAUGUACAUAUAGUAAACAGGUGAGAUGACUAUUAUAAUCUUUUCAGCUAUUGGAUUUGCCACAGUCUUAUAUUCAUUUUUAUAAUUAGUGAGUUAAAAUAUUUGUGAUUACAGAGUGCUAUGUUAUGUUGAUAGUUAAAAAAUUAUAAAUACUCCUGCCUCAAAGUCUACUGAAUCUGUAGCAUUUCUGUCCCACCUCUGCUUUUGUCCUGGUUCCAGUUACUUGUUGAUGCACACUCAAUUUCUCAAAACUUCUAUUAUUUGUAAUAGUAGCGAUUAUCUUGUAUUUUAUGGCUGGGGCUUUUUUUAAAAAGAAAAUUAAAUUUAUUAUUUUUAACUUACUUUAUAUCCUGCUCACUGCCCCCUCCUGAUCACCCCCUCCCACAAUCCUCCCCUCAUCUUCCUCCUUUCUCCUCUGAGCAUAUGGUGUUCCACCUGGGCAUACCUCCACCCCAAUACUUCAAGUCUCUUUGAGGCUAGGCACUUCCUCUCGCACUGAGGCCAGACAUGGCAGCCCAGCUAGAAGAACAGAUCCCACAUACAAACAACAGCUUUAGAGAUUGACUGGGGCUUUUGAUGAUUUCACUUUAUGACUUUACUUUCCUUGGCUAAAGUGGUUUAAAUAUCUGGAGAAGAUUGAAGUUGUUUGUUGAGGACUUCUGUUCUUUAUACUGCAUUAUUGGCUUUGGAAUAUUCUGUGUAAGUUUGUCACUUACAUGUCCAGUGUCUAGGCUGAGGAACAGCUGGGGAUCUUCUGGUAUCAUUACAUGAUAGCUUCAGGAUAGUUGGAUUUCCCCUCUUAAAACUCCCCCAGGGCAACUAUUCCAAAUGAAAGCUCUCUAAGAAGUGGGGUGAGCCAGUGGAACCCAGAUGCUGAUGCAAUGUGACAUUUCUACAUUAUGCCUAUCAAACUUGACUUAUAACCUACCUAAAUUUAAGAAGAGUUAUAGGGCUGAUCAUGGUACUAGAAGCCUUUAAUCCCAGCAAUUAGAAGGCAGGUAGGCAGGCAGUUUCCCUUGAAUUCAAGGUUAGUCUGCUCUACAUAAUCAGUUCCAGGAGAGCCAGGACUGCAUAGAGACCCAGCCUCAAAAAAAAAGUCAUAAUCUUGCUUUUGAUAGGAGAAAUGUGAAAAAACUGUGUGAACAUUUUAAAAUGAUUGCAAUUUAUUUUCUGCAAAUUUACACUUUUCUUACAUAUAUAAAGUACAUUAAAAUUCUCCUAAGGAAGCCCCAUUGUAGUGAGACUUUAGGCUUAGACUUAUACAGUUCAGAGUCUCUUCUAAAAUAAGAUAAAGAGUCACUGUAUUUUUCUGUUCAAUCUGAAGUCCUGUAUACUUAAGAAACAAAAUAUCUGCUCUCUUCCCAGUAGAUACGCCAUUAAACCUAUAGUAUUGAGAGAAGCAUAUGUUAGUAAAGUGGAAAUAGUCAUUGAAGAGGAAUGAAGGUGGUCAGGAGAAAUGUAUAAGUACACACUCUCUAGUGAGUCUAAAAUUAAGUUAGGCUUAUGUUACUGUUUUAUCUUCUAGAGCCUCAGUCUGUUCUUGAGAAGAGUCUAGUUCUUUCCUGUGUUAUUCGUACUCUUAAUUUAGCUGAGUUGGCUUCCUUUUGCAUGAGAAAUUGUUCAAGAAAUAUGCCUGCAGACAAAGGAGAGUGACUGUAUUGCCCCUUUGCCUCAAACCACAAGCAGGUGACAUAUUUCCUGAUUUCCAGAUAAGGAGAGUCAGAAUCAUAGAACAAAGUUCAAUAAUGGCUGAAAAACAGCAAACAGGUGUACUGAUAUUUCUUAAUUUUGAGUAUGUCCAUGCUGUGGUUCAAAGUGGGGAAUACAGGGAAAGCCAUUGCAUUAUUUGACUUGAAGAAAACCAGUUUUGAGUAUAGAAAGAUCUAGACCAUAAGGUCUUUUCUAAAGGAGAGUUUGCUGAACAUAGGUCUGCAGGGAGCCAUCUUUUAGCAUUUGUAAGAGGAGGCUCUCUUUGGCUAAAGAUUAAUCUAUUUCAGAGAGUUAGCAGUAACAUUUUUUAAUUGUUAGAAUGUAAAAUGUCAUAACUGACCAGGAAUAGGGAGACGGGACAUAGGGUAGAAUAGCGUCCAUAAUUUAGAAUUAUUACUUCAGGUAUAAUCUAGUUUUUUAAUCAAGUCUGAUCUAAUUUUGAGAAACAGAUCCUAGAAGAGGCAAAAAUAUCAAACUGUUUCCAAGAACUUAAUUGCAGUCUAAAGCAAAGCUCAAAAUAUAAAAAUAACAAAUAUUUUCAUUAGAGCAUGUUGAAAUGUUUGAAGUCCAAUUUAAAAAAAAAAAAAAAAAAGCCAUGCAUGGCACCAAACUGGCAGUUGCUUGGAUAGGUAACUGUUUUCUUUUUCUUAAAAGAUACAGUACUGUUGU
rnacentral:lncRNA from 1 species